rnacentral:rRNA from 1 species
UACAGAGGUCCCAAGCGUUGUUCGGAUUCAUUGGGCGUAAAGGGUGUGUAGGUGGCGCCGUAAGUCGGGUGUGAAAUCUCGGGGCUUAACUCCGAAACUGCAUUCGAUACUGCGGUGCUUGAGGACUGGAGAGGAGACUGGAAUUCAUGGUGUAGCAGUGAAAUGCGUAGAGAUCAUGAGGAAGACCAGUGGCGAAGGCGGGUCUCUGGACAGUUCCUGACACUGAGACGCGAAGGCCAGGGGAGCAAACGGG